rnacentral:rRNA from 1 species
GAAAGUAUUCAAGGGCGCACGGCGGAUGCCUAGGCUCUUACAGGCGAUGAAGGACGUGAUAAGCUGCGACAAGCCGCGGUGAGGCGCAAAUGGCCAUUGACCCGCGGGUUUCCGAAUGGGGCAACCCAACGUUUUGAAGAAACGUUAUCCCGCGAAUGCGGGAGGCGAACGCGGGGAACUGAAACAUCUUAGUACCCGCAGGAGAAGAAAAUAAAUAAUGAUUCCCCCAGUAGUGGCGAGCGACCGGGGAAUAGCCCAAACCGGCGUUGUCCAGGCAUCGCCGGGGUUGUAGGACCGCGAUGUCGCAAGAGCCAUGGCGAGUGGAAGGAACUGGAAAGUUCCGCCAUAGAGGGUGACAGCCCCUUACACGAAGCCAUGCGAAGCGUAGCGGAAUCCUGAGUAGCGCGGGACACGUGUAAUCCUGUGUGAAUCAGCCGGGCCCAUCCGGCAAGGCUAAAUACUCGUAAGAGACCGAUAGUGAACCAGUACCGUGAGGGAAAGGUGAAAAGCACCCCUGUUAGGGGAGUGAAAAAGACCCUGAAACCGUGCGCCUACAAGCGGUCGGAGCGCCCAUUGGGCGUGACGGCGUGCCUUUUGCAUAAUGAACCUACGAGUUGCCGUCACCGGCAAGGCGAAGGGGCAGGAGCCCCGCAGCCGCAGCGGAAGCGAGUCUUAAAAGGGCGCUGUAGUCGGUGGUGGCAGACGCGAAACCGAGUGAUCUACACUUGUCCAGGAUGAAGUCCCGGUAACACGGGAUGGAGGUCCGCACCAAUAAGCGUUGAAAAGCUUCUGGAUGAGGUGAGUGUAGGAGUGAAAGGCCAAUCAAACUCGGAGAUAGCUCGUACUCCCCGAAAGGCAUUUAGGUGCCGCCUGUGGAGUUCCCGGCGCGAGGUAGAGCGACUGAUAGGAUGCGAGGGCUUCACCGCCUGUCAAGUCCUGACAAACUCCGAAUGCGCGCCGGCCAAUCCAUGGAGUAAGGGCACGGGUGCUAAGGUCCGUGCCCGAGAGGAGAAGAAUCCAGACCACCGGCCAAGGUCCCGAAAUGCUGGUUAAGUUAGACUAACGCAGUCCGUCCCCCCAGACAGCUAGGAUGUUGGCUUGGAAGCAGCCAUUCAUUCAAAGAGUGCGUAACAGCUCACUAGUCGAGGGGAUGGGCGUGGAUAAUAAUCGGGUAUGAAACCAGUUACCGAAGCCGUGGGAUAUGAGAAUAUCGGUAGGGGAGCAUUCCAUCCUGCGUCGAAGGCGCCGCGCGAGCGGCUCUGGAGCGGAUGGAAAAGCAAAUGUAGGUAUAAGUAACGAUAAGGAGGGUGCGAUCCCCUCCCGCCGAAAGACCAAGGUUUCCUGAACAACGCCAAUCGGUUCAGGGUGAGUCGGUCCCUAAGCAUAAGCCUAAGGGCGAGGGCGAUGGAUCAAACGGUUAAUAUUCCGUUACUGUCUUGGUGUGUGACGCGGCGACGGAGAAGUGACACGGCCGCCCCCUGACGGAAAAGGGGGUUUAAGCGCAAAGGUUACGAGGGAGGCAGGCAAGCCCACCUCCCGAGCCGAAGCGCGAAAGUACGCGGCGCCCUUCUGGGCAACGCGACAGCGCCGGUAACCAUGCUCCCGAGAAAACCCGCUAAACUCCAGCACCAAGUCAUCCGUACCGUAAACGGACACACGUGGUCGGGUAGAACAUACUAAGGCGCUUGGGAGAUUCACGGUUAAGGAACUAGGCAAAUUGACCCCGUACCUUCGGAACAAGGGGUCCUCGUGUAAACGAGGCGCAGAGAAUAGGUCCAGGCAACUGUUUAACAAAAACACAGGGCUGUGCAAAUUCGAAAGAAGCCGUAUACAGCCUGACACCUGCCCGGUGCCGGAAGGUUAAGAGGAGGGCUCAUACUCAUGUAGAAGGCCCGAAUUGAAGCCCCGGUAAACGGCGGCCGUAACUAUAACGGUCCUAAGGUAGCGAAAUUCCUUGUCGGGUAAGUUCCG